rnacentral:rRNA from 1 species
CCUACGGGAGGCAGCAGUGGGGAAUAUUGGACAAUGGGCGAAAGCCUGAUCCAGCCAUGCCGCGUGAGUGAUGAAGGCCUUAGGGUUGUAAAGCUCUUUCGCCAGGGACGAUAAUGACGGUACCUGGAUAAGAAGCCCCGGCUAACUUCGUGCCAGCAGCCGCGGUAAUACGAAGGGGGCUAGCGUUGUUCGGAAUUACUGGGCGUAAAGCGUAUGCAGGCGGACUUUUAAGUCGGGGGUGAAAUCCCGAGGCUCAACCUCGGAACUGCCUUCGAUACUGGAAGUCUUGAGUCCGGGAGAGGUGAGUGGAACUCCGAGUGUAGAGGUGAAAUUCGUAGAUAUUCGGAAGAACACCAGUGGCGAAGGCGGCUCACUGGCCCGGUACUGACGCUGAGAUACGAAAGCGUGGGGAGCAAACAGGAUUAGAUACCCUGGUAGUCCACGCCGUAAACGAUGGGUGCUAGCCGUCGGAGAGCUUGCUCUUCGGUGGCGCAGCUACGUACUUACGUACACCCGCCGUCGGGUAGGUACGAGUCGCGAAGAAGUUAAAACGUUAAACGGUAAAGUUAGUACGGCGUGAGAACGUGCCGACGGACGACGACGAGGGAGGAGG